GAUGAAGAACGUAGCGAAAUGCGAUAAGUAAUGCGAAUUGCAGAAUUCAGUGAGUCAUCGAAUCUUUGAACGCACAUUGCGCCCCUUGGUAUUCCGAGGGGCAUGCCUGUUCGAGCGUCAUUAUAACCCCUCAAGCUCAGCUUGGUGUUGGGGCCUGCUGCACUGGCAGCCCUUAAAAUCAGUGGCGGCGCCAUCUGGCUCUAAGCGUAGUAAUUCUUCUCGCUAUGGAGUCCUGGUGGAUGCUUGCCAUCAACCCCCAAUUUUUCUAUGGUUGACCUCGGAUCAGGUAGGGAUACCCGCUGAACUUAAGCAUACCAAUAAGCGGAGGA
rnacentral:misc_RNA from 1 species